UACAGAGGUCCCAAGCGUUAUUCGGAUUCACUGGGCGUAAAGGGUGCGCAGGCGGCCGUGUGUGUGAGGCGUGGAAGCCCGGGGCUUAACCCCGGAAUUGCACCUCAAACUACAUGGCUAGAGCAUUGGAGAGGGUAGCAGAAUUCAUGGGUGUAGCAGUGAAAUGCGUAGAUAUCAUGAGGAAUACCAGAGGCGAAGGCGGCUACCUGGACAAUUGCUGACGCUCAGGCACGAAAGCGUUGGGGAGCAAAAGGG
rnacentral:rRNA from 1 species